rnacentral:rRNA from 1 species
GAUGAACGCUAGCUACAGGCUUAACACAUGCAAGUCGAGGGGUAACGAGAGGAAAGCUUGCUUUCCUUGUCGACGACCGGCGCACGGGUGAGUAACGCGUAUCCAACCUGCCCCCAACUAAGGAAUAACCUUGCGAAAGUAAGACUAAUACCUUAUAAUUUCCUCAGAUGUCAUCUGACGAGGAAUAAAGAUUUAUCGGCUGUGGAUGGGGAUGCGUCUGAUUAGCUUGUUGGCGGGGUAACGGCCCACCAAGGCAACGAUCAGUAGGGGUUCUGAGAGGAAGGUCCCCCACAUGGGAACUGAGACACGGUCCAAACUCCUACGGGAGGCAGCAGUGAGGAAUAUUGGUCAAUGGGCGAAAGCCUGAACCAGCCAAGUAGCGUGCAGGAGGACGGCCCUAUGGGUUGUAAACUGCUUUUAUACAGGAAUAAAGUUAGCCACGUGUGGUUAUUUGUAGGUACUGUAUGAAUAAGGACCGGCUAAUUCCGUGCCAGCAGCCGCCGUAA